CCUACGGGUGGCUGCAGUGGGGAAUUUUGGACAAUGGGCGCAAGCCUGAUCCAGCCAUGCCGCGUGCGGGAAGAAGGCCUUCGGGUUGUAAACCGCUUUUGUCAGGGAAGAAAAGGUUCUGGCUAAUACCUGGGACUCAUGACGGUACCUGAAGAAUAAGCACCGGCUAACUACGUGCCAGCAGCCGCGGUAAUACGUAGGGUGCAAGCGUUAAUCGGAAUUACUGGGCGUAAAGCGUGCGCAGGCGGUUAUGCAAGACAGAGGUGAAAUCCCCGGGCUCAACCUGGGAACUGCCUUUGUGACUGCAUGGCUAGAGUACGGUAGAGGGGGAUGGAAUUCCGCGUGUAGCAGUGAAAUGCGUAGAUAUGCGGAGGAACACCGAUGGCGAAGGCAAUCCCCUGGACCUGUACUGACGCUCAUGCACGAAAGCGUGGGGAGCAAACAGGAUUAGAUACCCCAGUAGUC
rnacentral:rRNA from 2 species